UACGUAGGUCGCAAGCGUUUGUCCGGAUUUACUGGGCGUAAAGCGCGCGUAGGUGGUUCGUUAAGUUGGAUGUGAAAUCCCCGGGCUCAACCUGGGAACUGCAUUCAAAACUGUCGAGCUAGAGUAUGGUAGAGGGUGGUGGAAUUUCCUGUGUAGCGGUGAAAUGCGUAGAUAUAGGAAGGAACACCAGUGGCGAAGGCGACCACCUGGACUGAUACUGACACUGAGGUGCGAAAGCGUGGGGAGCAAACAGG
rnacentral:rRNA from 1 species